UUCAAGGUAGCCUAGUGGGCAUGGCAUCUGCCCGGUAAGCGGAACAUUGUGGGCUCGAUUCCCAUCCCUGGAC
rnacentral:tRNA from 1 species